rnacentral:SRP_RNA from 1 species
GUUGGGCAUGGUGACGCAUGCCUGUAAUCCCAGCUAUUCAAGAGACUGAGGCAGGAGGAUCGCUUGAGCUCAGGAGUUCAAGGUUGCAGUGAACUAUGAUCACACCACUGCACUUCCAGCCUGGGCAACAGAGUGAGACCCUGUCCCUA